AGUGAACGCUGGCGGUAGGCCUAACACAUGCAAGUCGAACGGCAGCACAGUAAGAGCUUGCUCUUACGGGUGGCGAGUGGCGGACGGGUGAGGAAUACAUCGGAAUCUACUUUUUCGUGGGGGAUAACGUAGGGAAACUUACGCUAAUACCGCAUACGACCUACGGGUGAAAGCAGGGGAUCUUCGGACCUUUCGCGAUUGUAUUAGCCGAUGUCGGAUUAGCUAGUUGGCGGGGUAAAGGCCCACCAAGGCGACGAUCCGUAGCUGGUCUGAGAGGAUGAUCAGCCACACUGGAACUGAGACACGGUCCAGACUCCUACGGGAGGCAGCAGUGGGGAAUAUUGGACAAUGGGCGCAAGCCUGAUCCAGCCAUACCGCGUGGGUGAAGAAGGACUUCGGGUUGUAAAGCCCUUUUGUUGGGAAAGAAAAGCAGCAGGUUAAUACCCCGCUGUUCUGACGGUACCCAAAGAAUAAGCACCGGCUAACUUCGUG
rnacentral:rRNA from 1 species